ACACUCCUGCGGGAGGCAUCAGUGGGGAAUAUUGCACAAUGGGCGCAAGCCUGAUGCAGCCAUGCCGCGUGUAUGAAGAAGGCCUUCGGGUUGUAAAGUACUUUCAGCGGGGAGGAAGGCGAUAAGGUUAAUAACCUUGUCGAUUGACGUUACCCGCAGAAGAAGCACCGGCUAACUCCGUGCCAGCAGCCGCGGUAAUACGGAGGGUGCAAGCGUUAAUCGGAAUUACUGGGCGUAAAGCGCACGCAGGCGGUCUGUCAAGUCGGAUGUGAAAUCCCCGGGCUCAACCUGGGAACUGCAUUCGAAACUGGCAGGCUAGGGUCUUGUAGAGGGGGGUAGAAUUCCAGGUGUAGCGGUGAAAUGCGUAGAGAUCUGGAGGAAUACCGGUGGCGAAGGCGGCCCCCUGGACAAAGACUGACGCUCAGGUGCGAAAGCGUGGGGAGCAAACAGGAUUAGAUACCCCGGUAGUCCCA
rnacentral:rRNA from 1 species